GAUGAACGCUGGCGGCAUGCCUAACACAUGCAAGUCGAACGAGACCUUCGGGUCUAGUGGCGCACGGGUGCGUAACGCGUGGGAACCUGCCCUUAGGUUCGGAAUAACUCCCCGAAAGGGGUGCUAAUACCGGAUAAUGUCUUCGGACCAAAGAUUUAUCGCCUUUGGAUGGGCCCGCGUUGGAUUAGCUAGUUGGUAGGGUAAAAGCCUACCAAGGCGACGAUCCAUAGCUGGUCUGAGAGGAUGAUCAGCCACACUGGGACUGAGACACGGCCCAGACUCCUACGGGAGGCAGCAGUGGGGAAUAUUGGACAAUGGGCGAAAGCCUGAUCCAGCAAUGCCGCGUGAGUGAUGAAGGCCUUAGGGUUGUAAAGCUCUUUUACCCGGGAUGAUAAUGACAGUACCGGGAGAAUAAGCUCCGGCUAACUCCGUG
rnacentral:rRNA from 1 species